CCUACGGGAGGCAGCAGUGGGGAAUAUUGCACAAUGGGGGAAACUCUGAUCCAGCAACGCCGCGUGAGUGAAGAAGUUUUUCGGUAUGUAAAGCUCUAUCAGCUGGGAAGAUGAUGAUGGUAGCAUCUAAAGAAGCCGCGGCUAACUACGUGCCAGCAGCCGCGGUAAUACGUAGGGGGCAAGCGUUGUCCGGAUUUACUGGGCGUAAAGGGAGUGUAGGCGGUGUAGUAAGUUGGGAGUGAAAUCCCAGGGCUCAAACCCGGAACUGCCAUGAUAACUAUUAGACUAGAGUAACAGAGAGGAAGGCGGAAUACCCAGUGUAGAGGUGAAAUGCGUAGAUAUUGGGUAGAACACCAGUGGCGAAGGCGACCAUCUGGCUAUACAUUGACGCUGAGGCUCGAAAGCAUGGGGAUCAAACAGGAUUAGAUACCCCAGUAGUC
rnacentral:rRNA from 1 species